CACUGACCGUUUUGAUCCCUACUCAGGUGCUCAGCUGCCCCAGGGAGCCACCGAUGGAGCCCAGGCCAUGCCCCACUGGAGCAGAAGUGAUUUCAGCCAGUCCCCAGAUGGAUGAGUCCCUGCAGAGCUCAGUCCCUCCUCGCAGAAGACAUUGUAGUCAAAGACCUAAUGAUCUUGAACAGGCUUCCUCCCAGGAGAAGGAACCUGAACAUCCUAGGGUGCUUUGAAGAUGUACCAGCCCUAGCCUAGACAAAAAAAUCUGUGUCCACAGCAAGGAGCAGGUGAUGUUGGGCUUCUGCAGGAAACAUGGUAACCAUGAGUCAUAGAAUCAUAGAACCAACUAGGUUGGAAAAGACCUCGUCCAGAGAAGCCAUCCCUUUACACAGCCAGAUAUUUCAAAGAUGAGCAUUGAGUUGAGGAAGCUCUGCAGGACCCAUGCGGAAGGGGUCACUCAGCACACCACUACCUCUGGGGAGACGAAGACUGCUUCCUGAAGGCACUGCAUGUUCCCUAGGUACGCCAUGGUCUUGCAGUCCCAGCUGACUUCUCUCCCACAGCUAUGGAGUAAUAAAAAAGCAUUGGGGAUCUAUGAA